rnacentral:rRNA from 1 species
UACGGAGGGUGCGAGCGUUGUCCGGAAUCAUUGGGCGUAAAGGGCGCGUAGGUGGCCCGGUCAGUUCGUGGUGAAAGCGCGGGGCUCAACCCUGCGUCGGCCAUGAAUACUGCCGCGGCUGGAGCACUGUAGAGGCAGGCGGAAUUCCGGGUGUAGCGGUGGAAUGCGUAGAGAUCCGGAAGAACACCGGUGGCAAAGGCGGCCUGCUGGGCCAGUUGCUGACACUGAGGCGCGACAGCGUGGGGAGCAAACAGG